CACACACCGCCCGUCACACCAUGGAAGUUGGCUGCACCAGAAGUAGGUAGUCUAACCGCAAGGGGGGCGCUUACCACGGUGUGGUCAAUGACUGGGGUG
rnacentral:rRNA from 1 species